rnacentral:rRNA from 1 species
ACUCCUACGGGAGGCAGCAGUGGGGAAUAUUGCACAAUGGGCGCAAGCCUGAUGCAGCAACGCCGCGUGAGCGAUGAAGGCCUUCGGGUCGUAAAGCUCUGUCCUCAAGGAAGAAUAAAUGACGGUACUUGAGGAGGAAGCCCGGCUAACUACGUGCCAGCAGCCGCGGUAAUACGUAGGGGGCAAGCGUUAUCCGGAAUCACUGGGGCGUAAAGGGGUGCGUAGGCGGUUUUCAAGUCAGAAGUGAAAGGCUAUGGCUCAACCAUAGUAAGCUUUUGAAACUGUUAAACUUGAGUGCAGGAGAGGAAAGUGGAAUUCCUAGUGUAGAGGUGAAAUUCGUAGAUAUUAGGAGGAACACCAGUGGCGAAGGCGACUUUCUGGACUGUAACUGACGCUGAGGCACGAAAGCGUGGGGAGC